UACGUAGGUGGCAAGCGUUGUCCGGAUUUACUGGGCGUAAAGAGCGCGCAGGCGGUCGUUCAAGUCGCGUGUGAAAGCCCCGGCUCAACUGGGAGGGUCACGCGAUACUGAUCGACUCGAAGGCAGGAGAGGGUAGUGGAAUUCCCGGUGUAGUGGUGAAAUGCGUAGAUAUCGGGAGGAACACCAAUAGCGAAGGCAGCUCGCUGGGACGUUACUGGACACUGAGGCGCGAAAGCGUGGGAGCGAACAGG
rnacentral:rRNA from 1 species